rnacentral:lncRNA from 1 species
CAGAAAAUGAAUCUGUGAUCUCCCUGACACCCGCAUUCCCUUCCUUACUGCAAGACUCUUAUUCAUCCUGAGUGAUUCUCAGCCACGUCCUCUCACAGAGAUCUCCCACAGAGGAUUCACUCGACAUUCUUGAGAGCUCUCCCCAUGUCUCGGAAUUCCAUGGAGACUGGAACGACCUCCAGGAAUUGAUGCAGAGUGAAAAGAGCAGAACCAGGAGAACGUUAUACACAGAGACUGAUACA